CCUACGGGUGGCUGCAGUGAGGAAUAUUGGUCAAUGGACGAGAGUCUGAACCAGCCAAGUAGCGUGAAGGAUGACUGCCCUAUGGGUUGUAAACUCCUUUUAUAUGGGCAUAAAGUUCAGUAUGUAUACGGUUUUGUAUGUACCCUAUGUAUAAGGAUCGGCUAACUCCGUGCCAGCAGCCGCGGUAAUACGGAGGAUCCGAGCGUUAUCCGGAUUUAUUGGGGUUAAAGGGAGCGUAGGCGGGCGCUUAAGUCAGUUGUGAAAGUUUGCGGCUCAACCGUGAAAUUGCAGUUGAUACUGGGGGUCUGGAGUGCAGCAGAGGUAGGCGGAAUUCGUGGUGUAGCGGUGAAAUGCUUAGAUAUCACGAAGAACUCCGGUUGCGAAGGCAGCUUACUGGACUGUAACUGACGCUGAUGCUCGAAAGUGUGGGUAUCAAACAGGAUUAGAUACCCCAGUAGUC
rnacentral:rRNA from 1 species